AGAUGGCCGCCAUCGGGAGCACAGGCAGGAGAACUCCUGGAAUAACUGCAGCUGCUGAGGGCUGAGAGGGCGCCAACCCACUUCCAAGUGUGCCCGAGGGGUCUGUGGAGGUAGAAGGUGAAGUGCCCACAGGUUGGAGCAAGCAGGGGAGCAGCCACAGGUCCCAUUUUGGCCGUGAUCCGGUCCCGGAGCAUGUUUCCGGGGAGGCCUUCAACUCGAGGCCCCGGCUUCAGGGUUACUCGAUACCGGAAAGCAAUUAUGCGAAUGAAAUGAAAAAGAGAGAAGAAAAAUAUCUGAAAGCUGAUUCAUUCUGAAACAUGGUUCAACUGAUUCUCAAAACAAUCUGAAAAGGUGGCGCUGAGAAAGGUGAAUAAUCAAAGACUGCCUCUUGUUCGAGAUACAGCUAUAAACUGAAAGAUCAUUCCUGGAAGUGACGUCUCACAUUGGUAAGAUGCAAACAUCUCACGCCAGGGGAACGCAAAUGCGGAAGUGAAGUUCUUCCGACACGCUGAGCGGGAUAUGAGCCACUUCCGAUUGGAGGAUGGUGUGGCGCCAAAAGGAAUUGAAAGUGCUCUUCCGGAAAGGCUGGAACGGAGGGAUGGAACAGACAUUUUUCUCAGCAAUAGGAGGAUGUUUUAGAAGAUAGUUAAUCCAUGUCUGGAAAUAGGACUUUUUUGUUAAUUAUGUGAUGACAUCAUCAAAGGGGUAUAAAGGGAUGCCCAGGGAUGAUAUACCAUUAUGCCUUGAAAAAGAUACCAUAGUGUAUCGAAACGCGUCGGCAGUUCGUUUGUUGUGAAGGGGAGACACUGGUACGGAACCAUAGAGGGACCAACGAGGUGCUGGGGACGCCUGGUAUUAUUUCAAUCAUGCCUUGUUUGUCUACUUUUUUAGUGGACAAUCCUAGAUGGUGAGAGUCCAGUGAUUUUACCCUGUUCUGGUUGUUAAC